rnacentral:tRNA from 3 species
GCGGACGUAGCUCAACUGGGAGAGCAGCGGACUCCAAAUCCGCCGGUUGGGGGUUCGAGUCCUCCCGUCCGUGCCA